rnacentral:rRNA from 1 species
UACGGGAGCAGCAGUGGGGAAUAUUGCACAAUGGGCGAAAGCCUGAUGCAGCUAUGCCGCGUGUAUGAAGAAGGCCUUAGGGUUGUAAAGUACUUUCAUCGGGGAGGAAAAAACAAAACUAAUAAUUUUAUUUCUUGACGUUACCCGAAAAAGAAGCACCGGCUAACUCCGUGCCAGCAGCCGCGGUAAUACGGAGGGUGCUAGCGUUAAUCAGAAUUACUGGGCGUAAAGAGCACGUAGGUGGUUUUUUUAAAGUCAGAUGUGAAAUCCCUGGGCUUAACCUAGGAACUGCAUUUUGAAACUGAAAUACUAGAGUAUCGUAGAGGGAGGUAGAAUUCUAGGUGUAGCGGUGAAAUGCGUAGAUAUCUGGAGGAAUACCUGUGGCGAAAGCGGCCUCCUAAACGAAUACUGACACUGAGGUGCGAAAGCGUGGGGAGCAAACAGGGAUUAGAUACC